rnacentral:rRNA from 1 species
AUGAUGGCAUUGCCUCGCGCGGCCGCCCUGCUGCUCCUCCUCCUCGUGGUGGUGGUGGCGGCGCCGCUGCUGUGCGCCGCGCAGAGCCCCAUCUCGCAGCCGCCGUCGUCCGGGGCGCCCACCGCGUCCCCGCUCCUCCGCCCCGACGCCGACUCCGAAGACGGCGACAACGGAUCCGCUGUGCCCCCCUCCCUUGCCCCUGUCGCCGCGCUCUCCCCUGGCGAGGACAAGGCGGCGGCGGCGUCCCCUCCGGCGCCCACCGAGACGUCCCCCGCCGAGGCCCCCUCCUCCGCGCACUCGCCGGCGCCGUCGCCGUCCCUGCACUCGGCCGCCUCCGCCCCAUCCCCCGCGCCCGCCGCCGACAAGGGAGGCGACGACGACGAUUACAGCGGGAAGAAGAAGGGGCAGGCCCCGGCGCCCGCCCCGGCGGCGAUGGAGGUGAAGGCCGACACCGGCGCCGAGGCCCAGCCGCAGAAGGGCGCGGAGGGGCGCGAGGAGAUGAACGGCGGGAAGAAGGCCGGCGUGGUGGUGGGCGUGUUCUCGGCGGCGGCGGUGCUGUGCCUGGCCGGCGUGGUGUACCGGAAGCGGCAGGCCAACAUCCGGCGGUCCAGGUACGCCGACUACUCGGCGCGCCUCGAGCUCGUCUGA